UCUGUGACUCCUACGGGAGGCAGCAGUGGGGAAUAUUGCACAAUGGGCGCAAGCCUGAUGCAGCCAUGCCGCGUGUGUGAAGAAGGCCUUCGGGUUGUAAAGCACUUUCAGUUGUGAGGAAGGUGGUGUCGUUAAUAGCGGCAUCAUUUGACGUUAGCAACAGAAGAAGCACCGGCUAACUCCGUGCCAGCAGCCGCGGUAAUACGGAGGGUGCGAGCGUUAAUCGGAAUUACUGGGCGUAAAGCGCAUGCAGGUGGUUUGUUAAGUCAGAUGUGAAAGCCCGGGGCUCAACCUCGGAACUGCAUUUGAAACUGGCAGACUAGAGUACUGUAGAGGGGGUAGAAUUUCAGGUGUAGCGGUGAAAUGCGUAGAGAUCUGAAGGAAUACCGGUGGCGAAGGCGGCCCCCUGGACAGAUACUGACACUCAGAUGCGAAAGCGUGGGGAGCAAACAGGAUUAGAUACCCUGGGAG
rnacentral:rRNA from 1 species